AAAAAUGUCCCCUGAAUUGUAUCUAAAAAUGUCCCCUGAAUUGUAUCUAAAAAUGUCCCCUGAAUUGUAUCUAAAAAUGUCCCCUGAAUCUAAAAAUGUCCCCUGAAGUCAAACUUUUAUGUUAUUAUUCUCGGGAUCAAUCAUUGUUCUACAACUAGCUUAGGAAGGUGACUAUAACUCCUCUUUAUGUUAUUAUUCUCGGGAUCAAUCAUUGUUCUACAACUAGCUUAGGAAGGUGACUAUAACUCCUCUUUGGUGGUAAAACCCUGAAGGGAUAACUUGAAUCGAGAGAUCAAAAAGUAAUAUUUUUCUUUUUUUAACAAAAUUUUAAAAAGAACAGUGAAUUUUUUCUAGCUGUUGAAUCUUUUAUUUAGCUGAUCAUACAUCAAUAUUCUGUUCCUCACUCAUUGUAAUCGUAGACAAGGGAAAAAUGCUUUUUGACAUUUAUUUCUGCUUUCCUUUCUCCGUAAUAUUACGCAUAUUGCCCAGAGCUGCAGCUUUCUGUUUUUCAAAUUUUGUUUUUUAUACUAUAUAUUCAUCAAUUUGAUCUCUUGGGCCAUAAAUUUCAAAUUAAGUAUAAUAGAAAGUUAAUAUUUGUGUUCCAUGCAGAGGUGUCAAAUUUCUCUGACACGUUGUGUUGUGAAUUGAUGAUGCAGCUUUUUGAUCCAGCUAUUCUUUCGAUCUAAAAGUGACCACAUUAUAUAUCGAAAUCACGCGUUCAAGAUUAACGAGACUCCAAACAAAAGUUAUGACCUCUGAACAUAAAAAAAUAUAUCAGUCCUGCACAGUAAACAAAAUUAAGUAAAUUUAGUGUAAGAUUAUAUGUUCCAAUCCUAACUCCUCAGGUUCUGACAAUAAACGGAGCCAAGAUUGGAAACCAUGAUCUGCCAGCUCAUCAUGGUUUAGUUCAUGAACUAGACCGAGUUCUCUUCCCACCAACAGUCGGAGAUCUUCUUCAAACAUUACAGUUAGACCCAGAAAACCGGUUUACAACAUUUGUAAAAGCUCUUCAGGCGACAAGACUUGACAAAGAAAUUACAGAUUACAAUACUGGACCUUGGACAAUAUUUGCCCCGACCAACGCAGCCUUCAUGAACAUGUCGAUGAAGGAGCUGGAGGAACUGAUCACCAAUCCCAAGAAGCUCUUCAAGCUCGUUCUCAAUCAUAUCAUUAAUAAGACUAUUUACAGCGCUGGAUUAAAGUCUCAUCAAGUGAUAACAAUGGCAAACGGGAACCAACUUAAUCUAUACAGCAGACCAGAUCGUAUGAAGUUGGAAGGUUCGGGCGUAAUAAAUAUGGAUAUCCCUGCCACCAAUGGUGUGAUACAAGUUGUUGAAAAUAUUGUAGAUUCACAUAGAUAUUCGAUAUAAAUAAAUAAAUGAAUAAAUAAAUAAAAAUCUUUAAAA